ACAUUACAAUGUUUUUUGUUUUUAUAGUAAUUUAACCUUAACUGUGUAUACUUUCUUCAAUUUUAUGUUUUCCAAAAAAAGGUUUUGCCUUAUUCUCAGUUUUAUUCACACAAUCAAGUCUUGAUAAACAUCUUUAUUUUAUAAAAUUUCGUGACAACGUCAAUAAAGUUAUUAUUUUCACACAAAUUCAUAUCAAAGACGAGCGUAGGGUUUGUUGUGACAAAAAAACAUGCAGUACAUCCAGACAUUAUCGUUAUACAACUCAUCAUGUAUUCUACGUUUACCAUUUUUUAAAAAGAUGUACCGCCCCGGAUACGUCGUCAAAAGCCCAACAGAUCUUAACCUGCAAAUGUACUAAACAACUUUCUAUACACCAGGGCAGCCAAAAGUUCAAACUUUUGUUCCUCGGCCGAUUCAAGCACUCUUAAGGGGCGGUCUACACCUGAUCGUCUUUUUAAAAUCAUGUGAACGCCUCGAGUUAGGUAGGCUAUGAAAUCUGAUAGUAAUUUUUAUAUAUUUUUUUUCUAGUGAAUGGUUCGUACGAAAUGAAAAGUGAAGUCGUUAAAUUCCGUUUCGGUUUCACGUAACAAUUUCCGGCUGAAGUUGGAAACAAAAAUUUUCGAAUGAUUAGAAUUGAAGUUGAUGCAAAAAAUUCGUUUCUGAGAUAUAGAUAUUUAAAGCUGCCAAAUCACAAAAUAUAUUUAAGUAUAUUUUCUAAAUUAUACAUUCGAAUAUUAUAAUGGGUGAUUAUGUAUGUUGAUGUAGUGUUUUGGAUGGAUUCUACACUACUAUCUUAGAUCCAGGGGCGGCUUAUUCCCAAUGGUUAUGAGUUUUUCAAUCGUUUUUUCAACAAAAAGAUACUUUUUGUUUAACUCUAUAAAACUUAUGGUUUAGAAGGAGGUAUUAAAACACAGUUGUUGGAAAAGUACUGUUCAGUUAUGAAGCAGGUUUCACACGAGACGGUUUUAUUAAUUCCCAUAACUCACAUUUAUAGUACAAUUCAAAGAAAUAAUCGAUUUUGUGUUAAAAUAUGGACAGGAAUGUGGGUAAUAAUAACCUGCAUGGUCAGCGGUACUUAGAUUUUCUCCAAGAUGAUUUCUCAUCCAUUUUAUGUGAUAUUCCUUUAAACUUUCGUGGUUUAUGUACGAUGGAACUUCUCCUGACUUCCUAAAUGAUGUAAUAACAUUUUUCCUAAUAGAUGGAUUGGUCGUGGAGGACCAUUUGCAUGGCCACCAUGUUCCCCUGAAUUAAAAAUACAACGGAUUCGUUUUUUGAGGGAUAUUAUUAAAAGUUUGGUAUUUGAAACACAGGUAAAUACAAAAUCGAUAGAAUAAACUUCCAUUGUGAAGGCAGAAUCUUGGAAUAUAAGAGGGAAAAUUAUCAAAAUUUUGAAAGUUCUUUAUGAGUCACUGGAUAUUCGGCGAGUGAUGAAUAAUAAAACAUAAAUGUACCUGAGCUAAUACCAAGUUUUUGGGUUUUUAUUGGUCUUUUAUAACCAUAAGCUGUAUGGAAUAAUAAAAAAAGGUUUAGACGGGUCGAAAGGCCUGUGUACUAAUGACUAUAUAGAUUUUAUUCAAUAAAUAUUUGUCAACAAAGUAAUAAAGAUUAAAAA